GGUAGCCUACGGGGCGCAGCAGUGGGGGAUAUUGCACAAUGGGGGGAGCCCUGAUGCAGCGACGCCGCGUGGGUGAAGAAGCGCCUCGGCGCGUAAAGCCCUGUCAGCAGGGAAGAAAAUGACGGUACCUGAAGAAGAAGCCCCGGCUAACUACGUGCCAGCAGCCGCGGUAAUACGUAGGGGGCAAGCGUUAUCCGGAUUUACUGGGUGUAAAGGGGGCGCAGACGGCGAUGCAAGCCAGGAGUGAAAGCCCGAGGCCCAACCCCGGGACCGCUCUUGGAACUGCGUGGCUGGA
rnacentral:rRNA from 1 species